GGGCCUGUGGUAUACCGGUAACACGCUUGGCUGGCAGUCAAGAGUAGAGGGUUCGAUUCCCUCCAGGUCCA
rnacentral:tRNA from 1 species